UGGGGGAUAUUGCACAAUGGGCGAAAGCCUGAUGCAGCGACGCCGCGUGGGGGAUGAAGGCCUUCGGGUUGUAAACUUCUUUUGCUCUGAACAAGGCAUGCUAAUGGGUGUGUUGAGUGUAGGGGUUGAUUAGCGCCGGCUAACUACGUGCCAGCAGCCGCGGUAAUACGUAGGGCGCGAGCGUUGUCCGGAAUUAUUGUCGUAAAGGGCUUGUAGGUGGCUGGUUGCGUCUGUCGUGAAAGCUCAUGGCUUAACUGUGGGUUUGCGGUGGGUACGGGCUGGCUUGAGUGCAGUAGGGGAGGCUGGAAUUCCUGGUGUAGCGGUGGAAUGCGCAGAUAUCAGGAGGAAUACCGGUGGCGAAGGCGGGUCUCUGGGCUGUUACUGACACUGAGGAGCGAAAGCAUGGGGAGCGAACAGG
rnacentral:rRNA from 1 species